GGGUAGAGCACUGUUUCGGCUAGGGGGCCAUCCCGGCUUACCAACCCGAUGCAAACUGCGAAUACCGGAGAAUGUUAUCACGGGAGACACACGGCGGGUGCUAACGUCCGUCGUGAAGAGGGAAACAACCCAGACCGCCAGCUAAGGUCCCAAAGUCAUGGUUAAGUGGGAAACGAUGUGGGAAGGCCCAGACAGCCAGGAUGUUGGCUUAGAAGCAGCCAUCAUUUAAAGAAAGCGUAAUAGCUCACUGGUCGAGUCGGCCUGCGCGGAAGAUGUAACGGGGCUAAACCAUGCACCGAAGCUGCGGCAGCGACACUGUGUGUUGUUGGGUA
rnacentral:rRNA from 1 species